rnacentral:tRNA from 1 species
CGCGGUGUAGGGAAGUCCGGUUGUUCCCGCUGGGCCCAUAACCCAGAGAUCGCUCAGUUCAAAUCUGGCCACCGCCACGA